UUCACCUCCGUGGCAACUCACACAGCCUUAAGUGAAGAAUCAAGACACCUGCCUAGCCGUUGUUGUGAGGGCUCCUCCUCAGUGGAGCCUGCUGUCUUGUCUUGUCUUGUCUUGUCUUGUCUUGUCUUGUCUUGUCUUGUCUUGUCUUGUCUUGUCUGGUUUUGAAUUGUUUUAUCGUGUCUUAUCUUGUUUUAUUAAGUAGGCCUACCAUUUCCUGGUUCGCCUGGUUUUAUUUUAUUUUAUUUCUGAACUGUGGCGUGUGCCCACGCUUCUGUGAUCGGGCUGAAGCCAUUCUUUGCCUGAGUGUCGUGCCGGGGAUUUUAAAUUGCCCCCGUUGCUGGUCUUAGCCUGUGGGGAGCCAGACCAGCUCGCGAUUGAGGCUGGGACCAUUACUACCAGUACGAGUGGACCCGCGGGGCACAAGCCUUCCUGUGUUGAACGGAGGACGUACCAGUGGCCCUGGGACCUUAGGUGGUGGGUCGUUUUCACACUUUCUUUUGUACAGCACCGGGUGGGCUGCAGUGAUUUUCGUUUUGUGUGAUUUUCUUUUGGGUCCACGGCUGCUGGUAAGUCCAAGUUCCAUGUUUGUUUUAUUUUCACUUUAGGACACUGUCAACAAUGACGCUACAUCUUGGUUUCUAAAUAUUUUAUUUAUUUUUACUAUAAAUAAAACUGUUUUAAUAUUGGA